UACGUAGGGGGCUAGCGUUGUCCGGAAUCAUUGGGCGUAAAGAGCGUGUAGGCGGCCAUGCGUGUCUUCCGUGAAAUCCCUCGGCUUAACUGAGGACGUGCGGAAGAAACUGCAAGGCUCGAGUCCGGGAGAGGGGGGUGGAAUUCCCAGUGUAGCGGUGAAAUGCGUAGAUAUUGGGAGGAACACCGGUGGCGAAGGCGGCCCCCUGGACCGGAACUGACGCUGAGGCGCGAAAGCGUGGGUAGCAAACAGG
rnacentral:rRNA from 1 species